ACGCCCGUGAGAAUGCCCUAACACUCCCCGCCCGGAGUUAAGGAGCUGGCAUCAGGCACUUCACUUAGCCCAAAACGCCUUGCUUAGCCACACCCCCAAGGGAAUUCAGCAGUGAUAAAUCUUAAGCCAUAAGUGAAAACUUGACUUAGUUAUAAGCCAACAGGGCCGGUUAAACUCGUGCCAGCCACCGCGGUUAUACGAGAGGCCCAAGUUAAUACCCCCCGGCGUAAAGGGUGGUUAAGAAAAAUUUUUACUAGGGCUAAAUAUUCUCCAAGCUGUCAUACGCACCUGAGAAAAAGAGAACCUUAUACGAAAGUGGCCUUAACUUAUCUGAAUCCACGAAAGCCAGGGAACAAACUGGGAUUAGAUACCCCACUAUGCCUUGCCUUAAACCUUAUUAGCAUAAUUUACUGCCUAAUCGCCAGGGUACUACGAGCAUCAGCUUAAAACCCAAAGGACUUGGCGGUGCUUUAGACCCCCCUAGAGGAGCCUGUUUAAGAACCGAUAACCCCCGUUUAACCUCACCCCUUCUUGUUUAUUCCGCCUAUAUACCGCCGCCGUCAGCUUACCCUGUGAAGGAUCUAAAGUAAGCAAAAUUAGUAUAACUCAAAACGUCAGGUCGAGGUGUAGCUUAUGGAGGGGCAAAAAAUGGGCUACAUUCUCUCCCGCAGAGAAAACGGAAAUUGAAGUGAAAAAUCAAUUGAAGGAGGAUUUAGCAGUAGGUAAAAAACAGAGCGUUUUACCGAAACUGGCCCUAAAGCGCGCACACACCGCCCGUCACUCUCCCCAAGCCACAAAACAAACUUUCCUAAAAUUUAACUCAGGCAAAGGGGAGGCAAGUCGUAACAUGGUAAGUGUACCGGAAGGUGUACUUGGAAAA
rnacentral:ncRNA from 1 species